UUUUUAAAAAAUUAUUAAUUUUUAUGAAUUUAUAAGUUAAUUAAAUAAAAUAUUUUUUUUUUAGUAUAAAUGAGAAAAAAUUGUAUUAAUUAUAGUUUAUUAGUAUUGAGAAAGAAAUUUUUUAAAAAUCAAAAAGAAGAAGAUUAUUUUGUACCUUGUGUCUCAGGGAUUAUUAAAUAAUAAAAAGAUUUUAUUAUCUCGAAUUUAAAAGAGCUAAUAUUAUAUAAUUUUAUUGUUGAAUAAAUAUAUUUAAUAUAAUAUUAGAAAUGAAACGUUAUUCGUUUUUAAAUAUAUCUAGUUAUUAAAGAAAGAAGUUUAAUUUUUUUAUUAGUUAAAAUAUUUAUUUAUAUUAUUAAAAUAAUGUUAAUAGUAAAAAAUUUUUUAAGGGAAAAGCUUUAAAAAAGAAUAUUAAAAAUAAUAAAUUUAUAAAAAAAUUAUAGGAUUAGUAUUGUUCAUUAAAUAAAUUAUGUUAUAAUUAAUUUUAGAUAUAAUAAUAUUUAUAUAGGGUUUUAAAUUGUUUAUUUAAUAAUUUAUGGUAAUUAUAAUUAAUAAAGUUAUAAUGAUAGUAUUAGUAUUUUAAAUUAUAAAUUUAAAAAUAAUUAUUUAGGUUAAAUAAAGGAAUUCGGCAAAAAAUUUUUCACCUGUUUAUUAAAAACAUGGCCUUUUGUAAUAAUAUAAGGUCGAGCCUGCCCACUGAAAAUUUAAAGGGCCGCGGUAUUUUGACCGUGCUAAGGUAGCAUAAUCAUUAGUUUCUUAAUUAGAAGCUGGUAUGAAUGGUUUGAUGAAAAAAUAACUGUCUUUAUUUAAAUUUAAAAGAAUUUUAUUUUUAAGUAAAAAAGCUUAAAUGUUUUUAAAAGACGAGAAGACCCUUUAGAGUUUUAUAAAAUUUUAAAGUUUAAUUUUUAGUAUUUUAAAUUGAAAUUUAAAAUUUUAUUUAGUUGGGGUGAUUGAAAAAUUUGAAAAACUUUUUUUUAUUAAAUUCAUUUAUAAAUGUUUAAUUGAUCCAUAAUUUAUGAUUAUAAGAAUAAAUUACCUAAGGGAUAACAGCGUAAUUUUAUUUGAGAGUUCAAAUCGAAAAUAGAGAUUGCGACCUCGAUGUUGGAUUAAAGUUUAUAUUUGGUGUAGCAAUUAAAAUAUUAGGUCUGUUCGACCUUUAAAACUUUACAUGAUCUGAGUUUAAACCGGCGUGAGCCAGGUUGGUUUCUAUCUUUAAAUAGAUAAUAUAUUUUAGUACGAAAGGACCAAAUAUAUAAAAAAUUUUUUAUACAUUGAAUAAUAUU
rnacentral:rRNA from 1 species